rnacentral:lncRNA from 1 species
GCUGAGACUCACAGAUCUGCAUUCAGACCCAUAGAUCUGUGCUGAGACCCAUAGAUGUGUGCUGAGACCCAUAGAUGUACAUCCAGACCCAUAGAUGUGUGCUGAGACCCACAGAUGUGUGCUGAGACCCAUAGAUCUGCAUUCGGACCCAUAGAUCUGCAUUCAGACCCAUAGAUCUGUACUGAGACCCACAGAUCUGCAUUCAAACCCAUAGAUGUGUGCUGAGACCCAUAGAUGCACAUCCAGACCUAUAGAUGUGUGCUGGGACCCAUAGAUCUGCAUUCAGACCCAUAGAUCUGUGCUGAGACCCAUAGAUCUGCAUCCAGACCUAUAGAUGUGUGCUGGGACCCAUAGAUCUGCAUUCAGACCCAUAGAUCUGUGCUGAGACCCAUAGACCCACCCUUCGACCCAUAGAUCCACAUUCAGACCCAUAGAUCCAUUCUCCAACCCAUCGAUCAUCCCUCAGACCCACAGAUGGGUGUCAAGACCCAUAGAUCCACAUUCAGACCCAUAGAUCCACAUCCAGACCCAUAGAUCCACAUCCAGACCCAUCGAUCAUCCCUCAGACCCACAGAUGGGUGUCAAGACCCAUAGAUCCACAUCCAGACCCAUAGAUCCACAUUCACACCCAUCGAUCAUCCCUCAGACCCACAGAUCCGCAGAGCACCCUGUAUGGGUUAUGGGGGGGGGGGGCGCAGUGGGGCACCGCAGCCCCCCCCCACCCCCAAUAACCCCCCCUCCCCAUCUCUCUGCCCCCCAGAUAAAUACGCCGUGCGUUUCAUCCCGCGGGAGAACGGCGUUUAUUCCAUCGACGUCAAGUUCGACGGCGCCCACAUCCCAGGGAGCCCCUUCAAGGUCCGCGUCGGGGACCCCGGCCAGGCGGGAGACCCCGGCCUCGUCACCGCCUAUGGGGCCGGGCUGGAGGGCGGCACCACCGGUAGGGGGCAGCGCGGAGCCGUGGGGGCGAUGGGGGGUGGGGGGCAUGAAAGUAAUGGGGGCAGUGGGGCAGCGUCACCGGCAGGGGGCAGCACUGAGCGCUGUAUGGGGGUUGCAGUGGGGUUUAAUCGCCGGUAGGGGGCAGCGCUGAGUUUAAUUGGGGUUGCAGUGGGGUUUAAUCACCGCCAGGGGGCAGCACUGAGUUUAAUUGGGGUUGCAGUGGGGUUUAAUCGCCGGUAGGGGGCAGCACUGAGAUUAAUUGGGUUGCAAUGGGUUUAAUCAACGGUAGGGGGCAACACUGAGUUUAAUUGGGGUUGCAGUGUGGUUUAAUCACCAGUAGGGGGCAGCACUGAGUUUAAUUGUGGGUUGCAGUGGGGUUUAAUCACCGGUAGGGGGCAGCACUGAAUUUAAUUGGGUUGCAAUGGGUUUAAUCACCAGUAGGAGGCAGCAUUGAACUCCAUUGGGGUUGCAAUGGCGUUUAAUCACCGGUAGGAGGCAGCACUGAGUUUAAUUGGGGUUGCAGUGGGGUUUAAUCACCGGUAGGGGGCAGCAUUGAGUUUAAUUGGG